rnacentral:rRNA from 1 species
AGUGAACGCUGGCGGUAGGCCUAACACAUGCAAGUCGAACGGCAGCACAGUAAGAGCUUGCUCUUACGGGUGGCGAGUGGCGGACGGGUGAGGAAUACAUCGGAAUCUACUUUUUCGUGGGGGGUAACGUAGGGAAACUUACGCUAAUACCGCAUACGACCUACGGGUGAAAGCAGGGGAUCUUCGGACCUUGCGCGAUUGAAUGAGCCGAUGUCGGAUUAGCUAGUUGGCGGGGUAAAGGCCCACCAAGGCGACGAUCCGUAGCUGGUCUGAGAGGAUGAUCAGCCACACUGGAACUGAGACACGGUCCAGACUCCUACGGGAGGCAGCAGUGGGGAAUAUUGGACAAUGGGCGGAAGCCUGAUCCAGCCAUACCGCGUGGGUGAAGAAGGCCUUCGGGUUGUAAAGCCCUUUUGUUGGGAAAGAAAAGCAGCAGGUUAAUACCCCGCUGUUCUGACGGUACCCAAAGAAUAAGUACCGGCUAACUUCGUG